UAUACUGGGGAGACUACUACAAAGGAGGUGGCAUCAUGGGGACUAGGAGGGUCCCAAAUCCCCAUGCAAGAGUUACCUGAGGCCCUUCCUGCACUGCCAGGCAUUCAGCCCACAGGCGAGCUCUAGCUGGGGGUACUGCAGAGGGCAAAGACCGUCCCAGCACACUCUUCACCCUGUCUUCUACCUAAACUAAAAGCAUUCGUAAGACGAAGCACACGAUUUUUCAGGUCUCUGCAGGUCCAGCUCAUCGUAGGCUCCUCCUCCAUCUUCCCAGGCUCUUCGGCUUCUGACCACCUCCACAGGAGAAAACACCGUGGGUGAUAUUUUACCACCGUUAUGCCAACUGUGGCAAGAGGCGCACAAGGCUCAGAUCCAGUUCUCAGGAGAGGUGCCUGGGAUUGAGGCUGCAGCCGUGUUCUCCUGUGGACCCCAACUUCUAAAUGCUCUUCUCUUGCCCUCCGGUGUGGCAAUGCUAUAUGCAGGGUGCAUUCCACAUUCUCCUGCUUCUGGCACCCAAAGAGACCGAUGUUACAACUCUGCCUCUUUUCGGCGAGAAAGGUCAACGUGACAAUGUCACUGUUUCUGCUCAGAAUGCAUCAUCAGAAUGAACUGUCAUCUACCAGGACUACUCAGGAAAUCUGGACUGCCAUGUCCAAGGACAGCCCAGGCCCCCAAAUGCCUUAUCCCAUAAGAGGCAUGGGAAGCUUCUGCAAUUCUUUUGCUGCAAAUAAAGGUGGUAGUUUGGGGA